rnacentral:rRNA from 1 species
AACGAACGCUGGCGGCAGGCCUAACACAUGCAAGUCGAGCGUCCCGCAAGGGGAGCGGCGGACGGGUGAGUAACGCGUGGGAACGUACCCUUUGCUACGGAAUAGCCUCGGGAAACUGGGAGUAAUACCGUAUGUGCUCUUCGGAGGAAAGAUUUAUCGGCAAAGGAUCGGCCCGCGUUGGAUUAGGUAGUUGGUGGGGUAAUGGCCUACCAAGCCGACGAUCCAUAGCUGGUUUGAGAGGAUGAUCAGCCACACUGGGACUGAGACACGGCCCAGACUCCGACGGGAGGCAGCAGUGGGGAAUCUUAGACAAUGGGCGAAAGCCUGAUCUAGCCAUGCCGCGUGAGCGAUGAAGGCCUUAGGGUUGUAAAGCUCUUUCAGUGGGGAAGAUAAUGACUGUACCCACAGAAGAAGCCCCGGCUAACUCCGUGCCAGCAGCCGCGGUAA